rnacentral:rRNA from 1 species
UACGUAGGGUGCGAGCGUUGUCCGGAAUUAUUGGGCGUAAAGAGCUCGUAGGCGGUCUGUCGCGUCGGUCGUGAAAACUUGGGGCUUAACCCUGAGCUUGCGGUCGAUACGGGCAUGACUGGAGUUCGGCAGGGGAGACUGGAAUUCCUGGUGUAGCGGUGAAAUGCGCAGAUAUCAGGAGGAACACCUAUGGCGAAGGCAGCUUGCUGGGACGACACUGACGCUGAGGAGCGAAAGCGUGGGGAUCAAACAGG